ensembl:snRNA U6 U6 spliceosomal RNA
GUGCUCACUUUGGCAACACAUAUACUAAAAUUGGAAUGAUACAGAGAUUAGCAUGGCCCCUGCACAAGGAUGAGAUGCAAAAAUACAUACAUGAAUAAAAUAUUG